UACAGAGGUCCCGAGCGUUGUUCGGAUUCAUUGGGCGUAAAGGGUGCGUAGGUGGCGCUGUAAGUGGGGUGUGAAAUCCCGGGGCUUAACCCCGGGACUGCAUUCCAUACUGCGGUGCUUGAGGACUGGAGAGGAGACUGGAAUUCAUGGUGUAGCAGUGAAAUGCGUAGAGAUCAUGAGGAAGACCAGUGGCGAAGGCGGGUCUCUGGACAGUUCCUGACACUGAGGCACGAAGGCCAGGGGAGCAAACGGG
rnacentral:rRNA from 1 species